rnacentral:rRNA from 1 species
UUUUGGAAGUAAAGUCGUAACAAGGUCUCCGUGGGUGACCAGCGGAGGGAUCAUUACCGAGUUACAACUCCCCAACCCCUGUGAACAUCCAAUUGUUGCCUCGGCGGAUCAGCCCGCUCCCGGUAAAACGGGACGGCCCCCCCAGAGGACCCCUAAACUCUGUUUCUAUAUGUAACUUCUGAGUAAACCCAUAAAUAAAUCAAAACUUUCACCAACGGUCCUUUUGGUUUCUGGCAUCGAUGAAGAACGCAGCAAAAUGCGAUAAGUAAUGUGAAUUGCAGAAUUCAGUGAAUCAUCGAAUCUUUGAACCCCACAUUGCCCCCCCCAGUUUUUUGGCGGGCAGCCCUGUUCGAGGGUCAUUUCAACCCUCAAGCCCAGCUUGGUGUUGGGACUCGCGAGUUUAAAUCGCGUUCCCCAAAUUGAUUGGCGGUCACGUCGAGCUUCCAUAGCGUAGUAGUAAAACCCUCGUUACUGGUAAUCGUCGCGGCCACGCCGUUAAACCCCAACUUCUGAAUGUGACCUCGAUCACAGAAAGACCCCCC